UACGGAGGGGGCGAGCGUUGUCCGAAGUUACUGGGCGUAAAGGGCGCGUAGGCGGGGUGUCACGUCCGCUGUGAAAGCCUGGAGCUUAACUCCAGCGGGUCGGUGGAUACGGACACUCUUGAAGGCAUUAGGGGAAGAUGGAAUUACCCAUGGAGCGGUGAAAUGCGUAGAGAUGGGUAGGAACACCGGUGGCGAAGGCGGUCUUCUGGGAUGUCCUUGACGCUGAGGCGCGACAGCGUGGGGAGCAAACAGG
rnacentral:rRNA from 1 species